GGUAUGUAGGCCGAGCUNGUGGGNAGCUGUAGACUUGUUUACGGGACAAACCCCCCCCCAGCCC
rnacentral:tRNA from 1 species